GGAAGGGUGGCAGAGUGGUCGAAUGCACCGGUCUUGAAAACCGGCGAUGUGCAAGCAUCCGUGGGUUCGAAUCCCACCCCUUCCGCCA
rnacentral:tRNA from 1 species